GAUGAACGCUAGCGGGAGGCCUAACACAUGCAAGCCGAGCGGUAUUUGUCUUUCGGGACAGAGAGAGCGGCGUACGGGUGCGGAACACGUGUGCAACCUGCCUUUAUCUGGGGGAUAGCCUUUCGAGAGGAAGAUUAAUACCCCAUAAUAUAAUGAAUGGCAUCAUUUAUUAUUGAAAACUCCGGUGGAUAGAGAUGGGCACGCGCAAGAUUAGAUAGUUGGUGAGGUAACGGCUCACCAAGUCGAUGAUCUUUAGGGGGCCUGAGAGGGUGAGCCCGUACACGGGUACUGAGACACGGACCAGGCUCCUACGGAGGGCAGCAGUGAGGAAUAUUGGACAAUGGGUUAGCGCCUGAUCCAGCCAUCCCGCGUGAAGGACGACGGCCCUAUGGGUUGUAAACUUCUUUUGUACAGGGAUAAACCUACUCUCGUGAGAGUAUCUGACGGUACUGUGCGAAUAAGCACCGGCUAACUCCGUGCCAGCAGCCGCAGUAA
rnacentral:rRNA from 1 species